ensembl:lncRNA
CUUUGUUUGCCUACCCCGUGAUUACCUUUCAUACCCUAUUUAACAUUUUCCUAUAUUAGUAGUACACUACUACAACUAAUACUACUACUUGAGAGGUUCUAUUCUAGGACAAGACUGACCAGUUGACCAUUUCCUCUGUCUCACUCUUGUCCCACACAUUCAACACAUUUAUCUAUAUACGUGUCAGACAAAGAGGUCUUGGUCAAUACCACAAGUGGAGGACGAUCAGUAAAUUGCGUGUCUGGUUCAUUUGUUACCAUCAUUAUUCUGAAUGAAUGUCAGACUGGAAUGUGAAUAUUUCAGAUUCACCUCAGGAGUGCCUUUGUCACACUUUAAUCUUGGUAAAGGUUGUCUUUAAUGUAAAAUUAGUAAGUAUUUAUCCUGUUUUAUCCUUUGUUGGUGAGAUACCUUUGUAGUUAAGUUUUAUUGUACUUUUUAUUUGUAACAUGGAAUGGUUCUUUUUCUGUUGUGACCUGCCUGGACUUUUUUUUUUUUUUUUUCAAAUCUAAAUAUCAGAUGUAUUCAGCAAGUUUAGUCCAAAUUGUGCACACUGUCUGGAUUCAGUCUGUUAUAUUAUCAUUGUGGUGUUUGUCUUAAAAAAGAAAGAAAUCAAAAUAGUUUCUCUGAUCUUUCUUUCUUUCUUUCUAAAAAUUCUGGCCACUGUUCUGUUAAAUGCAGUCAGAUAUGGGUGUGUUCUUAGCAGAGUAUUUCCACAGUGGCAGUAAUGAAAAAUGUCACCGAAACAGAUGUUACAUUAACUGUAUUUUGAGUAGUCAACACAAUUAGACCUGUAAAAACAACAUGGUAUUGUUACUGAUGGAAGCUUGACCAUAUAAACAUUCAUAUAAACAGCAAAAAUGAAUCAAUUUCAGUAACUGCAAUUUUCAUUUUACUGCCAGUGUUUGGUAAUGUAAGUGUGUGACGUACAUUGCCACUCUUUGCCGAUUCACAUUAUUGUAGUGCUGAAAGUAUGGAGUUGUAAGAAGUCAAAGGCACCUCUAAGACUUAUUUUAUGAGACUUUCUUUUAACAUUUAUUCAGUGUAACCAAAAAACACUGAGCCUCUACCGUUAAGUGGCUGAAUGCUUCCCCCUAGUGUCAGUGUGUUGAAUAAUUAGAUACCCUUUUUAAAAGCAGUCCAUAAAUUAAAUGCUUACACAUGUAGGAAUAGAUUGCUUGCUAAAGAUAUAGAUAUUCACAGUGACAGGUUUUGUCAUUUUGAGCCUUGCAUAAAUCCUUCAAACUCGAACUUCGAACAAUACAAGAAAGAUUUUUUUCUCUUCU